rnacentral:tRNA from 1 species
GCCGGAGUGGAGAAAUCGGCAGACUCAGAUGCCUCAAGAGCAUCCGGGCCGCAAGGCCCUUGAGGGUUCGAAUCCCUCCUCCGGCA